UCAGGAUGAACGCUGGCGGAGUGGCCUAAACACAUGCAAGUCGAGCGGGCAGCGACGAGUAGUUUACUACUUGGCGGCGAGCGGCGGACGGCUGAGUAACGCGUGGGAACAUGCCCAAAGUGAGGAAUAACUGCCCGAAAGGGUAGCUAAUGCCGCAUACGAUCUUCGGAUUAAAGGAUUUAUCCGCUUUGGGAGUGGCCUGCGUACGAUUAGAUAGUUGGUGAGGUAAUGGCUCACCAAGUCUACGAUCGUUAACUGGUUUGAGAGGAUGAUCAGUCAGACUGGAACUGAGACACGGUCCAGACUCCUACGGGAGGCAGCAGUGAGGAAUCUUCCACAAUGGACGAAAGUCUGAUGGAGCAACUCCGCGUGCAGGAUGAAGGCCUUCGGGUCGUAAACUGCUUUUAUGAGUGAAGAAUAUGACGGUAACUCAUGAAUAAGGGUCGGCUAACUACGUG
rnacentral:rRNA from 1 species